GUAUAUUACUGAUUAAAAUCUGUCCUUACUACUAUAACUAGUGUCUGGCUUUUUAAACAAAGAAAAUAUUUGACA